rnacentral:rRNA from 1 species
GACGAACGCUGGCGGCGUGCUUAACACAUGCAAGUCGUACGGUAAGGCCCUUUCGGGGGUACACGAGUGGCGAACGGGUGAGUAACACGUGAGUAACCUGCCCACAACUUUGGGAUAACGCUAGGAAACUGGUGCUAAUACUGGAUAUGUGCUCCUGCUGCAUGGUGGGGGUUGGAAAGCUCCGGCGGUUGUGGAUGGACUCGCGGCCUAUCAGCUUGUUGGUGGGGUAGUGGCCUACCAAGGCGGCGACGGGUAGCCGGCCUGAGAGGGUGACCGGCCACAUUGGGACUGAGAUACGGCCCAGACUCCUACGGGAGGCAGCAGUGGGGAAUAUCGCACAAUGGGCGCAAGCCUGAUGCAGCAACGCCGCGUGCGGGAUGACGGCCUUCGGGUUGUAAACCGCUUUCAGCAGGGACGAAGCUUUUUGUGACGGUACCUGCAGAAGAAGCACCGGCUAACUACGUG